ACUGUAGCUCAGUUGGUUUAGAGCGCUGCCUUGACAGGGCAGAGGUCGGGGGUUCGAAUCCCUCCAGUCU
rnacentral:tRNA from 1 species